CAGCACCUCAAGUGGUCAGGAUGAUUAUUGGGCCUAAAGCAUCCGUAGCCGGCGCUGUAAGUUUUCGGUUAAAUCUGUACGCUCAACGUACAGGCUGCCGGGAAUACUGCAGCGCUAGGGAGUGGGAGAGGUAGACGGUACUCGGUAGGAAGGGGUAAAAUCCUUUGAUCUAUUGAUGACCACCUGUGGCGAAGGCGAUCUACCAGAACACGUCCGACGGUGAGGGAUGAAAGCUGGGGGAGCAAACCGGAUUAGAUACCCGAGUAGUCC
rnacentral:rRNA from 1 species